rnacentral:pre_miRNA from 1 species
CGGACCUGGAUAUAGAAGAGUAUAACACUAGGAGGUUCCACUUCGCUGAGCAUAUCUCGCCAUCGAGAGAGAGCAAGAGUCUCGCUGAGAGCCAUGAGAAGAUCAGCAAGCUCCAAGCUUGGUGCAAGUUCCAGGACAAAUUCAUUGGUAAGUGCUUCAAGAUGUGCACAUCCAUACAAAAGAGGUUGAACCGCUCCUCUACUAGCACUACUACACCA